UGAUCUGCCCGCCUCGGCCUCCCAAAGUGAAAAGCAUAUUUAAGGACUUGUUCAGCUCCCAGGGAUGAUGCCCCUCCAAAAGUUCAGGACUGUUUUCAUCAGACACUUUCCUGAUCUGCGCCCUUAUGAUGUGCUGUGGCAGAUUCUCUUGUCAAGAGGUGAAGCCUAUUUCUCAAUCCCGAGAAUCUGGGUUGGCCUGUGACUUGCUUGGCCGAUGGAACAUUAGCAGGAAUAAUGCAGCACAGGCCUGGAAAUCACUUGUGCAUUGGGACUUGCUCUCUCGCUACAUUUGUUACCCUGAGAACACUAUGUGAACAAGCCCAAGGUGGCCUGCUGGAGGGAUAGAGGCCACGUGGAGGAGAAGCAAGGUGCUCUAGCUAAUAGCCAGCCAGUGGUCAGACGGUCCUGAAUGGGAUUCAUUGGCCAAGCAACACAUGGCACAGAUGGCUGCAAACAUAACACUGCACAAUGCCCAAGAGCAUGGUGUAAUGGGCCAGGAACACAGUCUCACUAUUGUUUUCCAUGUAGAGGUAAAUACUAUUCAAGUGUCUUCAGCCUAAAGAGUUGGGCACUAGCAGGGCAGUGCUGAAAACUGCAUAUGCAGGUAGGAGAGUCAGAAGGGAGAGGUGGGAAAAAGGAAGAAAGAGAAAGAAGCAAAAGAAAGGAAGUAAAAAUAAAGCUUCUCACAACACCAUCCUAUUAGGACACAUUUCUACUUUCAGUGACCCCGGGUACCCUACUGGAAAGCCCUCUUACCUGCAACACACAGCCUAAUUCACUUCAAGAGGCCAAAAGGCCAUACUCAUCUACGGGACAUUCUGUGUCUCAAACCCAGCGUCCUAGUGAUCUAAGUUUAA
rnacentral:lncRNA from 10 species